rnacentral:snRNA from 1 species
AUACCUUUCUCGGCCUUUUGGCUAAGAUCAAGUGUAGUAUCUGUUCUUAUCAGUUUAAUAUCUGAUAUGUGGGCCAUGUGCCCACAACGAUAUUAAAUUUAUUUUUUGUGGGGGAGGGCCCGCCACAGUGGCUUGCUGCUGGGGCCCUCGGGUGUCGCCCAGUGCGUUGCACUAUUGCCUGGGCAGGCGCGCCCCAA